CAAACACAAUUGGACCUAUGUCGCCACCGGCACAUGCACGUGAAACAUGUCGCAUCAGUCCAUGCCAAGCCCCCAUUAAAGAGCCACGUGGUAUGGAUCCAUAAUAUGGAACCCACAGUCUUAACAUUAUCCAGCGGUAUGGUGGAGGAUCCACAACGCAGCAGCACUUUGCAUGCCUACAUGUCCGCAACACUUUACAGCUUGAAUUGAAGAAAUAAGGAAAAAGUGCUAAAGAACGAGUAAAACUCUGUUGAUGUCCUACUCUUUUUAAUACCACAUGUAUUUGCAAUAUAUAUAGAAUUUUGUUCCACAGAAACUUAAAAAAAAAAAAAAAAUUUAAAAGUAAUUAAUUUUUAUUUCAGACAAUCCCCAAAAUAAAAACGAAACACUCUUCUUCCUGCAACAACAAGCUACUUUACAGGCUUACUAGUGAAUACUUCAUCAGCUUGCUCCCUUCUCCAGUCUAAAAGUAACAAUAAAGCAAUUCUCUUAAAACAACAUUAUAGAGUGACACACAGUGAAUAGUUAGAAGCUCAGUGCAACACAAAUCACAUUAAGAAUACAACCCACCCUGCUAGAGAACAAAUGCGCCGUCUAAGUCAGUGUUUCCCAACCAGUGUGCCUCCAGCUGUUGCAAAACUACAACUCCCAGCAUGCCCGGACAGCCAACGGCUUUCCGGGCAUGCUGGGAGUUGUAGUUUUGCAACAGCUGGAGGCACACUGGCUGGGAAACACUGAUCUAAGUCCAGCCUGGUUGACCUCAACACCACAGUGGAUCUCACUCCACGGAGACUUAUACUGGAUCUGGUCUGUCACCCAAUUCCCUUACAAAUAAGUGUCUAGUACCUGUAUGGUGUGAAUAAAGCUGAUUUUUGUUUGACUGUGUGACUUAACCAUUGUAAUGCUGCACAGAUUUUUGGACAAAUUCCCCUAACCCCCGACUCUCCGUGCCGUGUUCCACUGUUGUGCUAAAGUCUAAAAAUACUUAUUUAUCAACUAAAAUCCCAAGGCUGGUUUAUCACGUUAAAUUAAACCCCUAAAAGUGAAUGCCCAUCCUACGAUAGACACUGAUCAUUGGGGGUCCCAUUGGCCGACUGCAUUCAAACAGCAGACAGCAGUCCCCCCCCCCCUCCCCCGUGCUCACAACUGGUGAAUAGGUGACAAGUGUCUAUCAUGGAACAACCUUUUUAUUAUUUUUUUGUUUCAAAAUUCUGCACCAACUUAUUUCUUAUUCUAUCUUUGUCUAUGUAGAAGAUUUGGAGCUCUUACAACUAUAGUGACAACAUGCUGGCUAAUGUGACCACCCCCAGAAGGUGCAUAGGAGCUUACUGCAUUAGACUGUUUACAAUGCGCUUUUAAUAACCAUUUGGGUUGGUAUGCCAAUAUUUUUUUUAGCUAUGGGAUUGUGCAGUCUGCAGAGUUGUUCCAUACAGAGGAAUCCCACAGAAGCACGCAAAACAAACCACUAGGGAAACACUUGGUUCACAUGUGCAGAUUUUCUGCUGCUGAUUUUGUUCACUUCAAUGGGUAGCAAAAUCAGCUGCAGAAAAUCUACAGGAACAUAUGUACACGUCACCAAAAAAAACCCCCAAAAAAAACCACUUUAUAUAUUUUGUUAAUGUAUUAGAAACAACUUUCUAAUACCAGGUGAUUAACAAAAAUGUAUCUUUAUAUAUAUAUAUAUAUUUUUUUACUUUGAAAAACUGACCAGAAAAUGUCCUGGCUCAGUGAUUUUGGACUCAUACCGGCCUGGCAGCAUGAGUCCGAACUCUUAGUGCAGCCGGGACACAAAAGCACAGCGCAGCUCCCUGCCUGUCAAUGCAUGGCAGGCAAGCCCACAGAGCCUGUCAGCAGCCGCCCCCCCCCCCCAGUGAUUAUAAGCACAGUAGCAGGAUCACAUGGCUAACAGCAUCCCCCGCUAACCGGAUUACAAGCAGGGUCCGGAUUAAAAGCAGGCGUCACAAGAAGGGCGGAAGUGAGCCCAGCAGCAGGCGGCAGAAAGAGGGCGGAAGUGAGCCCAGCCAGGCUUCAACUGACGUCAUGCCUGCUGGGCCACUCCCCCUUCCUCUCUCACAGAGGGCAGCAAAAUGAGCAAUUAAUAAGGGAUUGAAAAAGGUCGGAAAAGGGUCCAUGGGUAACAAAAUACGCAAGUGACCUUACCCUUACAGUGGAAUCUAUAAACUGGCAUGUAUGGGGUGGCUAUAUCAAAAGAAAAUCCACUUGCCCGUGUCCGAACUCCACCCUACUGUGAAAACUGACCCCUAUUAGGUUUGCAGUAAGCUCCUAAGCCAGUGUUUCCCAACCAGGGUGCCUCCAGCUGUUGCAAAACUACAAUCUUUUCAGGAUGUGGACAGUCUUCGGCUGAUAAAAACUAAAAUGUUUUUUAUAAUUUGUGAGAAUUUGAAAGUGGAGUUUCUACAUAUUUUUAUGUAUAUUUUUUUAAGUUAAGAACCUGCUCCAGCAUCUUGAGUGGAUCAGUCCUGGAGUGCAGUGUGAGUAUGGAACAAUAUACUACUAAUAUUGUUUGGUUAUUGUGGACUGUGUGUACAUCAAUCUCUCAUCGAGGGACCACAUUACAUUGUUCUUUACAGCAUAGGGAAUGUUCCAUCUCUCCUGCUGCCAAGGAGGGCAAAAGGUACAAAACAAGCACAGGGUGGCAGAGAGGGACACCUUAGAAUCCUUAACAUUGCCAAAAAACAUAAGCAACUCUCCAUAACAUUUUUGUUUUAGUUAUGCCACUUAACACAUUUCUACACUUAAUCUUCAGUAUAGACAUUAAAUAUAAAUUAAAUUCUGCAUUAUUAAAUAAUAAAACUUGGUUGCAGUGUAAGAAACUCCAAUAUAUUGGUUAAUGUGGCAAUAUCUGGAACAGAACAGUGAUCGAACUGAGGAGCUGGUUAGAAACAGACAAGAGAAGACUUUCGAAAGGG